CACCACGAGGGUUAGACUGUCUCCUUUUUCAAAUCAGUGAAAUUAAUCUCCCCGUGAAGAAGCGGGGAUACUCAUAUAAGACGAGAAGACCCCAUGGAGCUUCAAACCCAACUACACCCCUAGCUCUUAUAGCCCCACAACCCCCCUAGGCACCGUGUGCUUGGUUUUAGGUUGGGGCGACCGCGGAGUACAAUAAAACCUCCACAAUGAAUGGGAACACCCCCUUAUCUGAGGGCCACACCCCCU
rnacentral:rRNA from 1 species